UACGUAGGUGGCAAGCGUUAUCCGGAAUUAUUGGGCGUAAAGCGCGCGCAGGUGGUUUCUUAAGUCUGAUGUGAAAGCCCGCGGCUCAACCGUGGAGGGUCAUUGGAAACUGGGAGACUUGAGUGCAGAAGAGGAAAGUGGAAUUCCAUGUGUAGCGGUGAAAUGCGUAGAGAUAUGGAGGAACACCAGUGGCGAAGGCGACUUUCUGGUCUGUAACUGACACUGAGGCGCGAAAGCGUGGGGAGCAAACAGGAUUAGAAACCCUCGUAGUCC
rnacentral:rRNA from 1 species